GCGAAUUCACAAAAGUCCAUAUCACGAAGAUAAAUCCAAUUUUCUCAUCUCCCCUGCAAGCAAUCUGUAGGAGCUCAUUGAUGUUCGUGCAUCCACGAAGAUAAAGCAACUUCAUCAGAUUUUUCAGGUUUCUCAACGUAUGAGGGAGAUUCUGGAGCCUCUUGUACUUUGACAUGUCAAGAAAAACAAGACUAAGCUUAUCACCUAUCGAUGACGACGGCUUUUUUAUUUCUUAAGAAUUGAUUUAUCGCUUACUCUGCUUUUUGAUUAUGAAUGUAUUCAUUUGCCAUCAAUGUCGUCUUAGCUCAGUAGUGGAGCGUCUGGAACGUGGAGGUAGGUUCAAUCUCCGAAUACGGCAUUUUCCUCUGUUUUUGAGUUAUAUUAAUAAAGGUUUGUCAUCUUUUGUGAUUGCCUGGUUAGAUCUCGAUCUUUCUUUUUAUGAAAUGAUGAUACCUCAAAGAAUAUUUUAACUCUGAUCUCCACUCCAAUCACCUUUUCCAUGACCUUAAUUCGCAUUGUGACAAUCCACACAUCUCCUCAGGUUCCUCAACACAUGCAUCGCUCUUUCUCCAUUUUGCCAUUCAGAUUCAGAACCCCGAAAGCAACCGCUAGAACGGAAACCAAUAUAACAAACAAGAGAACAUUUAAGUCCAAGAAACGACAUCUUCAUACUCUCUACCAUCAAACACCAAUCUCUCCUUCUCAACACAACCACAUUUGGAAAACAAAUCAAUGAAUGAAUUAGCAAGACAAUUAUCUGAAACAUGUCCAUGUCGAACAAUAGCAUACCUCCUUGGCUUUUGAUAGAUACGGAUUCAACUUGCCUGGUAUCGAACAUGUCGUACGUGUGCAUAUUGAAAAUUUCUCAAACGCAAGCUUGUGUUUACAUACUUAAAAGAUCAAAUGAGAAGAUAGUUUUGCCAUUAACGUAGAAAGUCGAAACCGUGCUACCGAAAAACAGAGUGGCUACUGGUGGGAAUCAUGAGUGACCAAAAGAGCGCCAAGUAACGUCUCGACCGUUGCAAAAAUUAACGUCUUGGCUACCAUUGUCUUAUUCCUCCCAAGGAACGACACCGUUUUGUUUUCAUAUACAUUACAUAUAUACAGUAUAUAUAUACAUAAAUUAGGUACGGCAUCUGCACUUUUUCGUCAAAUUUUCAUCAGUAUAUAUCAGGAAAUGUAUGAUGUAAAUUGUAAAGAUAUGAAAUAAGAGAGAGAAAACAUUUUUGAAAAUUUGUUUACGUAUUACUAUAUUUCUUGACGGUGUACGUUGACCCAAAAAAAUGUAUAUAAAUUCUCUGGACGGUGUGUAUGUACGCAUGUCUAAUCUAUACCGUAUUCGGCUGGUCCAAAUAAUGUAGUUCACUUUUAAAAGGAAAAGAAAAAUCAAAUAUUUUCUGAUCGUUCGCCAGCCAAAUUAAUUUCAAAUGAAAAAUAUAACAAUGGGUUCAGGAAAAAGAACAACAGUGGGUUACUUACUUGAAUAAUAAUUACACUUAGAUUUGAGGAUGAUAUUUGAAUCCCGACUCUAAAGAGCUAGUAACAGUUUUGAAGGGAGAGGAAGUAUUGAACAUCAUCUUUUAUUUUGAGGAGUUUCAGUGUUAAGCAAGAGGAGAAAAUGGAGUGGGUGAUAGAAGUAUAUUGCUAUUAAAUAAAAAACAAGUUCAGGUAGAUUAUAUUGUGGUAUAUCAUGCUGACUUAAUGUCUGCAAAGAUAAACAAUUUGUAUUUUCUAC
rnacentral:lncRNA from 1 species